rnacentral:rRNA from 1 species
UACAGAGGGUGCAAGCGUUAAUCGGAAUUACUGGGCGUAAAGGGCGCGUAGGUGGAUGAUUGAGUCGGAUGUGAAAUCCCUGGGCUUAACCUAGGACGUGCAUUUGAUACUGAUUGUCUAGAGUGAAGUAGAGGGUAGUGGAAUUUCUGGUGUAGCGGUGAAAUGCGUAGAUAUCAGAAAGAACACCGGUGGCGAAGGCGGCUACCUGGACUUUAACUGACACUGAGGCGCGAAAGCGUGGGGAGCAAACAGG